CAGUAAAUAUGAGAAUAUCAUCGGCAAAGCAUAAGUAUGGUGAAAGGGGAUCGCUUGGCGCAGCCCCUUAGUACCACUGAAGAACCCAUGGAGUCUCCCGUUGAUGCCCACAGAGAAGGAUGGAGUAGAGUAGCAAGAAGUGAGCCACUGAAUGUACAGGUCAGGAAGGUUGAGCGCAUGGAGGCAAGCAGUGAGAAAGUCCCAUCUGACUGAGUCAAAUCCCUUGGCUAUAUCAAUCUUUAAGGAGAGGGAAUCGAGGAAAGCUGAGCAGACUGUGCUGGAGAGAUAGAGAACCAGUCCGUGCGAAUCAAGUCAGCAACCUGUGAAAUCGAAACUGGUGAUGUUUUGUGAGUUGGAGGCCCAAGAAUGCU